GAUGAACGCUGGCGGCGUGCCUAAUACAUGCAAGUCGAGCGAACAGAUAAGGAGCUUGCUCCUUUGACGUUAGCGGCGGACGGGUGAGUAACACGUGGGUAACCUACCUAUAAGACUGGGAUAACUUCGGGAAACCGGAGCUAAUACCGGAUAAUAUUUCGAGCCGCAUGGGUGGAUAGUGAAAGAUGGUUGUUCUAUCACUUAUAGAUGGACCCGCGCCGUAUUAGCUAGUUGGUAAGGUAACGGCUUACCAAGGCGACGAUACGUAGCCGACCUGAGAGGGUGAUAGGCCACACUGGAACUGAGACACGGUCCAGAGUCCUACGGGAGGCAGCAGUAGGGAAUCUUACGCAAUGGGCGAAAGCCUGACGGAGCAACGCCGCGUGAGUGAUGAAGGUCUUCGGAUCGUAAAACUGUGUUAUUAGGGAAGAACAUACGUGUAAGUAACUGUGCACGUAUUGACGGUACCUAAUCAGAAAGCAACGGCUAACUACGUG
rnacentral:rRNA from 1 species